UGAUAGCUCAGUCAGUAGAGCAUGAGACUCAUGAUCUCGGGGGUCAUGGGUUCAAGCCUAAGGUUGGGCAAAA